AAGGACUUUGCCACAUACCUGGAGAAAAACCUCCAAAAUGAAAAUUACAAACAGGAGGUUGACAACGUUGCUCGUUUCCUGUACUACGCGGACCCACAGGCCCCAUCCCUGGAGUUCGUCAGGAACAGGGAAAAGAUCUCGCAGUACCUCCGUGAGCUCUCUGAGGCAAAGCUGACAAAGCAAACUCAGCAGAAUUAUCUCAAGAGCUUGAAAAGAUUCCUGUCGUACCAUACAGUCAACACCAACCUGAGGCACGAGGAUCGGCCACUCUUUGAGGACUGCAAGCACUUCAUUGAGUUCAUUGGGUCUCUGCAGAAAUGCUGCCCCAAGCAAG